rnacentral:rRNA from 1 species
UGGCUCAGGAUGAACGCUGGCGGCGUGCUUAACACAUGCAAGUCGAACGAGGGUUAUCGGUUGAAGUUUCGGAUGGAAACUGAUAAUCCUAGUGGCGGACGGGUGAGUAACGCGUGGGGAACCUCGCCCAUUCCGGGGGAUACCAGUUGGAAACGACUGUUAAUACCGCAUAAGCGCACAGCAUUGCAUGAUGCAGUGUAGAAAAAACUCCGGGUAGGAAGUGGGAUCGGCCCCGCGUCUGAUUAGCCAGUUGGCAGGGUAACGGCCUACCAAAGCGACGAUCAGUAGCCGGCCUGAGAGGGCGACCGGCCACAUUGGGACUGAGACACGGACCCAAACUCCGUACGGGAGGCAGCAGGUGGGGAAUAUUGCACAAUGGGGGAAACCCUGAUGCAGCGAACCGCCGCGUGAGUGAAGAAGUAUUUCGGUAUGUAAAGCUCUAUCAGCAGGGAAGAAGAUGACGGUACCUGCACAAGAAGCCCCGGCUAACUACGUGCCAGCCGCUGC